UACGUAGGGGGCUAGCGUUGUCCGGAAUCAUUGGGCGUAAAGCGCGCGUAGGCGGCCAGAUAAGUCCGGUGUGAAAGUCACAGGCUCAACCUGUGAAUGCCGCUGGAAACUGUCUGGCUAGAGUCCGGAAGGGGCGAGUGGAAUUCCUGGUGUAGCGGUGAAAUGCGCAGAUAUCAGGAAGAACACCGACGGCGAAGGCAGCUCGCUGGGACGGUACUGACGCUGAGGACGAAAGCGUGGGGAGCGAACAGG
rnacentral:rRNA from 1 species